UACGAAGGGGGCUAGCGUUGCUCGGAAUCACUGGGCGUAAAGGGUGCGUAGGCGGGUCUUUAAGUCAGGGGUGGAAUCCUGGAGCUCAACUCCAGAACUGCCUUUGAUACUGAGGAUCUUGAGUUCGGGAGAGGUGAGUGGAACUGCGAGUGUAGAGGUGAAAUUCGUAGAUAUUCGCAAGAACACCAGUGGCGAAGGCGGCUUACUGGUCCGGAACUGACGCUGAGGUGCGAAAGCGUGGG
rnacentral:rRNA from 1 species